UACGUAGGGGGCAAGCGUUGUCCGGAAUCAUUGGGCGUAAAGAGCGUGUAGGCGGUCCGGUAAGUCGGCUGUGAAAGUCCAGGGCUCAACCCUGGGAUGCCGGUCGAUACUGCCGGACUAGAGUUCGGAAGAGGCGAGUGGAAUUCCCGGUGGAGCGGUGAAAUGCGUUGAUAUUGGAAGGAACGCCGGAGGCGAAAGCGGCGCACUGGAUUCUUCUGACGCUGAGGCGCGAAAGCUAGGGGAGCAAACGGG
rnacentral:rRNA from 1 species